rnacentral:rRNA from 1 species
AGAUUGAACGCUGGCGGCAUGCCUUACACAUGCAAGUCGAACGGCAGCACGGGAGCAAUCCUGGUGGCGAGUGGCGAACGGGUGAGUAAUAUAUCGGAACGUGCCCAGUAGGUGGGGGAUAGCCCGGACGAAAGCCGGAUUAAUACCGCAUACGACCUACGGGUGAAAGCGGGGGAUCGCAAGACCUCGCGCUAUUGGAGCGGCCGAUAUCAGAUUAGCUUGUUGGUGGGUAAAAGCCUACCAAGGCGACGAUCUGUAGCUGGUCUGAGAGGACGACCAGCCACACUGGGACUGAGACACGGCCCAGACUCCUACGGGAGGCAGCAGUGGGGAAUUUUGGACAAGUGGGCGCAAAGCCUAGAUCCAGCCAUGCCGCGUGUGGGAAGAAGGCCGUUGGUGUAAACCGUACUUUUAGUACGAGG